rnacentral:snRNA from 1 species
AGAGAAUCGCUUGAACCUGGGAGACGGAGGUUGUAGUGAGCCGAGAUCAUGCCACUGCACUCCAGCCUGGGCGACAAGA